AACGAACGCUGGCGGCAGGCUUAACACAUGCAAGUCGAGCGCCCCUCAAGGGGAGCGGCAGACGGGUGAGUAACGCGUGGGAACGUACCCUUUGCUACGGAAUAGCUCCGGGAAACUGGAAUUAAUACCGUAUGUGCCCCACGGGGGAAAGAUUUAUCGGCAAAGGAUCGGCCCGCGUUGGAUUAGCUAGUUGGUGGGGUAAUGGCCUACCAAGGCGACGAUCCAUAGCUGGUCUGAGAGGAUGAUCAGCCACAUUGGGACUGAGACACGGCCCAAACUCCUACGGGAGGCAGCAGUGGGGAAUAUUGGACAAUGGGCGCAAGCCUGAUCCAGCCAUGCCGCGUGAGUGAUGAAGGCCUUAGGGUUGUAAAGCUCUUUCACCGGAGAAGAUAAUGACGGUAUCCGGAGAAGAAGCCCCGGCUAACUUCGUGCCAGCCGCCGCGGUAAUAC
rnacentral:rRNA from 1 species